UGAUGUCCGGCCCAGAUGAUUGACCCAUGAAUUUAAUUGCCUUCAAGAGGGAAAAUUAUUUUUCCAUCAAAGAUGACCCAGCUGUAAACUACGGUCGCACCUGAUGAAAUUUUCCCUUCAAGAGGCGCAUUUCGUCGGUCUCACCAUCCACCUGCGCGAACCUUUGGCCUGCACAUCCACUGGCCGCGAACCGACGAAGGCCUAGCAGAGCCCUAACCGAAGCGAUGAAGGCUGCCGUUGACGACUGUACGGAAUAAAUUAUCAAAAAAUGAGCUCAAGUUACUCAACAAGUUUGAAAGACACGAAACAUCUGCAAAUAUACUGUGAUUGCAACCUGAUACUUAAUGUUUUCACGGUGCAGAAAGGUGGUAACUCUAGGAGAAAGUUCUAUCGAUGCCCCAUAAAUCGAUCAAGGAAAGAUUGCAACUAUUUCCAAUGGGUCGACGAAGCUCGUGACACAACAUUUCAACAACGUGAAUGCGUGAUGAAGAAGGAAUUGAAGUUGAAGAUAUUUUAAUAUUUAGGACGUUUAAGCCCCUCAUUUCCUGAGAUGGCAAGUUCUCAGCCUUCCGAGAGACCUUACAUUCAAGGUACUUUGGGGAACACAUAUUAGAGGCUGAAGAAGGCCAUUAGUAAUGCUGAUAGGUCCAACAUUCAUGCAGCCACUCCGGUGACCCCUUCUAUUGCCCCUCCUCCCACACCAGGUCCCUCGCAUGCACUACAUUCCACUUCACUUUAUUUCCGUCUAGUAUUCUUAUUUAAUGAGCUUGGCCCCUCGACUCCAGCACCUAAGAUGGCUGACACCGCAGACAGUCUUUAUUGAGCCGGAGGGUGAUUUGUUCUACCCCUCAGGCCGUCCGUGACCCGGAUCACGGAGAUCAUCUGGAGCAGGUAUGAGCAACUAUAUCUCUCAUGAAAGCAGAUCCCGAUGGCCACUCAGAAUAUGUACUUUAGGGAGUUUGAGAGGUCUUUUUACUGUUUGCGGGAACAUCACCAACAUAUCCAAAAGAUUUUUGAGGUUUGUGCCAGGCAUAGACUUGGGGAUAUGUUCCCGAAAGCACGUAAGAAGGGGUAGAGGCCCUUCUGGUUUGGGGAGGAAGCUUGACCUGAGUUAAAUUGAGCAUGGGCUUGUCCGGAGUACUAGUGCAAGAGACAGACAAAUCAGUAGAACCUGAUGACGGAGGGAGCCAGAGGGGUUGCACUCCACAUUGGAGGUUUGAUCCCCCAUACGAAGCACUAUCAGAGGCUGGAGUGCGAGCAGCUCGGGGAGAGAUAGGGGGAGAUGACUAGCCAGACCUCACCGUCUGCUAGCAGUAGUAGCCAGUCUACCACUGCUCAGUCCGAUUUUGAGUUGUGGACGUAGAAGACGGGGAGGAAGAAAAGGAGAGUGUACUGCCUAAAAGCAACAAGGGUGGUGUUUGAGGUUUAGCGUUCCCGUGUAGUUGUGGGUGGCCCUAGCUCGUUACAGGCUCAACAUAAGGAGCUUACUAGAUGGGUGAUGAUGAUAAAUGAAUAGCUCCGAUAGGUGCGUGAAGACUAGUAACUCGUUGCAAAUAGUCUAGCACACCUAGCAGAGAGUUUUGAUCAUCGGAGCAAGCGACAUAUGCAUUCGGUCGAGGAGUAUGAGGUGGAGGAGGAU